rnacentral:rRNA from 1 species
UCCGGUUGAUCCCGCCGGACCCCACUGCUAUCGGGAUAGGACUAAGACAUGCUAGUUGAGCGCUUCCAGCCAAUACGGGAGCGCAGCGCACAGCUCAGUAACACGUGGCUAAUCUGCCCUUGGGACCGGAACACCCCCGGGAAACUGGGGCUAAUUCUCGAUAGGUGAAGAACUCUGGAAUGAGUCUUCGCUUAAAAGACGUUUACGUUAUGCUCGUAGGCGUCGCCCAAGGAUGAGGCCGCGACCGAUCAGGUUGUUGGUGAGGUAAUGGCUCACCAAGCCUUUUACCGGUGCGGGCCGUGAGAGCGGGAGCCCGGAGAUGGGCACUGAGACAAGGGCCCAGGCCCUACGGGGCGCAGCAGUCGCGAAAACUUUGCAAUACACGAAAGUGUGACAGGGCUAUCCCGAGUGCCAUCCGCUGAGGAAGGCUUUUACCCAGUCUAGAACGCUGGGGGAAUAAGGAGAGGGCAAGUCUGGUGUCAGCCGCCGCGGUAAUACCAGCUCUCCGAGUGGUGUGGAUGUUUAUUGGGCCUAAAGCAUCCGUAGCUGGCUGAGUUAGUCCCUUGUUAAAUCCACCGAAUUAAUCGUUGGAUUGCGUGGGAUACUGCUCGGCUAGGGGACGAGAGAGGCAGACGGUAUUUCCGGGGUAGGGGUGAAAUCCUAUAAUCCCGGGAAGACCACCAGUGGCGUAGCUGUCUGCUAGAACGCGCCCGACGGUGAGGGAUGAAAGCUGGGGGAGCGAACCGGAUUAGAUACCCGGGUAGUCCCAGCUGUAAACGAUGC